rnacentral:rRNA from 1 species
GUAACACAAGGGAGCUUGCUCCUGAGGUGACCAGCGGCGGACGGGUGAGUAAUGCCUAGGGAUCUGCCCAGUCGAGGGGGAUAACAGUUGGAAACCACUGCUAAUACCCCAUACCCCCUACGGGGGAAAGGAGGGGACCUUCGGGCCUUCCGCGAUUGGAUGAACCUAGGUGGGAUUAGCUAGUUGGUGAGGUAAUGGCUCACCAAGGCGACGAUCCCUAGCUGUUCUGAGAGGAUGAUCAGCCACACUGGGACUGAGACACGGCCCAGACUCCUACGGGAGGCAGCAGUGGGGAAUAUUGCACAAUGGGGGAAACCCUGAUGCAGCCAUGCCGCGUGUGUGAAGAAGGCCUUCGGGUUGUAAAGCACUUUCAGUAGGGAGGAAAGGUAAUAGUUUAAUAAACUAUUACUGUGACNUUACCUACAGAAGAAGGACCGGCUAACUCCGUGCCAGCAGCCCCGGUAAUACGGAGGGUCC